AUUCCAGCUCCAAUAGCGUAUAUUAAAGUUGUUGCAGUUAAAAAGCUCGUAGUUGAACUUCAGGCCUGGCCGAUCGGUCCGCUUCACAGCGUGUUACUGCUUGGCCGGGUCUUCCCUCUUGGUGAACCUGCAUGUCAUUCACUUGGUGUGUAUGGGGAACCAGGACUUUUACUUUGAAAAAAUUAGAGUGUUCAAAGCAGGCAUUUGCCCGAAUAUAUUAGCAUGGAAUAAUAAAAUAGGACGUGCGUUUCUAUUUUGUUGGUUUCUAGAAUCGCCGUAAUGAUUAAUAGGGAUAGUUGGGGGCAAUAGUAUUCACAUGCUAGAGGUGAAAUUCUUGGAUUUUGUGAAGACUAACUUCUGCGAAAGCAUUUGCCAAGGAUGUUUUCAUUG
rnacentral:rRNA from 1 species